rnacentral:rRNA from 1 species
GACGAACGCUGGCGGCGUGCUUUAGGCAUGCAAGUCGAACGCGAAAGCCCCUUCGGGGGUGAGUAGAGUGGCGAACGGGUGAGUAACACGUGGGUAACCUGCCCCUCGCAGGGGGAUAACCGGGGGAAACCCCGGCUAAUACCCCGUACGCUUGCUGGGGCGCAUGCUCCGGCAAGGAAAGGUAGCUUCGGCCAUCCGGCGAGGGAGGGGCCCGCGGCCCAUUAGCUAGUUGGUGGGGUAACGGCCCACCAAGGCGACGAUGGGUAGCUGGCCUGAGAGGGGGGUAGGCAAAAGUGGGAGUGGGAAACGGCCAAGACACCAACGGGAGGCAGAAGCGAGGAAACUUGCGAAAUGGGCGAAAGCCUGACGAAGCAACGCGGCGUGGGCGAUGAAGGCCUUCGGGUCGUAAAGCCCUGUUGUCGGGGACGAAGGGAGAAGGGUUAAUAGCCCCUAGCCUGACGGUACCCGAAGAGGAAGCCCCGGCUAACUACGUG